UUCACUCCCCAGAGCGCUGGGUCAGGACCAAGCCAGGAGGUAUACCCUUGCUCCGUAGAUGGAGGCCUAACUCACUAUGCCUGGUUAUUUUAUUUCAGAGGAAGAGAUGCCUACAACAGUGAAGGUUGGGCCUGGCCGAAGUUGGGAGCCCAGAGCUCAGUUUGAUUCUCUCGCAAGGGUAGCAGGGACCCCAGGUGCUUGGGCCAUGAACUGCCGUCUGCUGGGGUGCUGAUCAGCAGGAAGCUGGGUGGGAAGUUGGGCAGCUAGAACUUGACCUGAGCUCCGGGACACGGGACGCAGGUGUCCCGGGCAGCUCUGGGAUGCGGGCUGCAGGUGUCCCGGGCAGCUCUGGGACGCGGGACGCAGGUGUCCCGGGCAGCUCUGGGACACGGGCUGCAGGUGUCCCGGGCAGCUCUGGGACGCGGGCUGCAGGUGUCCCGGGCAGCUCUGGGAUGCAGGCUGCAGGUGUCCCGGGCAGCUCUGGGACAUGGGCUGCAGGUGUCCCGGGCAGCUCUAGGAUGCGGGCUGCAGGUGUCCCAGGCAGCUCUGGGACGCGGGCUGCAGGUGUCCCGGGCAGCUCUGGGACGUGGGCUGCAGGUGUCCUGGGCAGCUCUGGGACGUGGGCUGCAGGUGUCCCGGCCAGCUCUGGGACGCGGGCUGCAGGUGUCCCGGCCAGCUCUGGGACGCGGGCAGCUCCAGGAUGCGGGCUGCAGGUGUCCCGGGCAGCACCGUGCCCCCACUGUCUGUGUCAGUUUCUCGAUUAGAGCUGUCACUGUGCAUCUCUGCGUGUGGUGGAGCAUUUUUCUCAUUUGGCUCAAAUGGCUUUUCUGAGCCAUUUCUGUAUCAUUCUUUCAGAUGAACUUCAAACUAAUUUGGUCAAGUUUGCUUUAAAACUAUUAUGACUUUGAUUGACAAUAUGUUUGUUUUUGAAAAAAUUAAAGGCAUUUGUAUUUUAAUUUUCUGGCCCAAUGUGAGUGUUUGCAUAUUCAUCUAGUUAAUAAAUUCUGGAACUUUGCAGCAAGAGCCGUUAAAUGCCCAGAUUUCUUUCAGGAUUUAAAUUCGAGGCAAUUAGAGACCCCGUGGCAGCACACACAGUCAUGCCACGUGUUUAUUCUGCAGAGACAGCAUGUUUUUUGCGCUGAGCUGCACAUCAAAGGCCUUGUCUCCCUGGUGCCCAAACAUGGCCAGUGUGGGCCACGGGUUCCCCAGCCGUCAGUCUGAGAGGUCGCUGCUUUCAGAAGCCUUUUCAGUGUUGCUGUGGACUCUGUCCCGCCGUGUGCUGUCUGGUGAGGAAGGAGGCAGGCUGCAGGGCCCCGCGGGUCCAGUCUGCAAGGGAAGCCGUUGGCACCCUGUGCACCUGCUCGCUGGCUCGCCUUGUGCUCAGUGAAGUGUGAGGACUGGCUUGUCAUGUGUUUUUACAGCACCGCUAUGGGCUCCCAGCCAGCCCCUUUAGUCUUUGUCUUUUUCGUGCAUAAAACUGCCUGCUUUUCACUUCAGAUGGGGGCGUUCGGCACUUUGGGAGAGUGGGGGCUCAUCACGCACACGCCAUCUGUGCCUCCUGGCAUCUCCCAGACAGGUCCCCGCCUUGGCUGGGGCUGCGCGGCAGUCCGCUCACAGGACGGGCCAGAUCGUGGCCACCUCUCAUCCCUGCUGGCUCACCUGGCGGUGUGCACACCUGUAGUGCCGUCCGCAGAUUCCGAGCUUUAACGUUUCAGUGGAUUCAUUUCAAGAAGAGCUGCAGGGGUUGUCUGGGUUCCCAUCUGCCCUGGCGCCGUCGCUCCCGUUGCUAACUCUGCCUGUGCGUGUCACACUUGUUGCAGUGGAGGAACCGAGUGACCCAGAGCCCAUGCAUGUUCUUGGACCCUUCACUCGGAAGAUCCUGUGCCGUAGAGCUGUCCCUGUCUCCCACGUUCUCACGUGUUUGCUUUGGACAGCCUUGUCAGUUUUGAGGUUCCCCCUCCCUCUGGUCCCGGUUACCAGGCCAGGGCUGGGUGGAGGGCAUUGCUUUGCGGAGGAAGAUGGGAUGAUGUGAUGGCUCUGCCAUGCCCAGCCCGGGCAUGCCGUGGGCGUGGCCUCCACCUGUGCGGGGCCUUGUCCUGUCUGGGACACCGUGUCUCGGUGCGCGGCCUUCUGGAGGCAGGUCCCUAAGCACAGUGCGGUCUCCGUCAGAAGGCUUUGUUAACCAUCUUCAUCUGGUGGCACCUGCUGGGUUUUAAAUCCUGCUAUGAUAUUUUUUUAACUCUGUAUAUUCUUUUUUAAAAUUUUUAUUUACUUAUUUUAA